ACUUCCUUUCUGAAUACUUCGACUUGACCUUCCGAGGAGUCUUCUAUCAAUGUUCUAUUUUUUUGACUUUCCGAUUUACAUUCUGACUAUUAUAUAAGUUGAUUGGAUAAUCCUUGUCACAUGUCUAUUUCUGGAUAAUACACGUGUUAAGUCUAUCUUUACCAAUACAGAUAGUCUUUCCACUUUUCAGAUAUUGUUCGAGGAAUUUUCGAGAAGUAGAAGAAGUUUUGACGGGAAGAAGAUCAUGAUUAAGAUUCUUAAUUGGCAGGAGAUAAGAUCUUAUCCGAUUUUUGCAUCCUGAAUUUGAAGCGACAUGCACUGUGAUUAAAGUAAUGCGUGAAAUUUUCAUUUAGUAUUUGAAACACGUGGCAGUUUAUGACUCGUUUGAUGCUUACAGUGAUUUCCAAGGUAAUGAUGAUACUGUGAUUUCCUAGUGAUGUUUUCGAAUUUGCCGACUUGAUGAAGAUGAUUCUGAAAGGUCGGGUUCAUAUAUAUAUAAAUAUGAAAUCUUUUCUCUCUUUUUCUUACCUUUCAAUUUCUUAAUGUACUUUAUUCCUUGACAGUUUUCGCCAACUCUAAGAACUAUUUCUGCAAUUUUCCUACUGAAAAUUAUGGAUCUAUAAAAUUUUGUUCUUUCUAUGCUUUUUUAUUUCUUAGCCCUGUCUUCAAUGUAAGACGUACUACUAUUUCGGAUGAGCUUCGGCGGAGUUAACCCCUUUAAUAAUGAGGUAGGAGAAGAGAUCCAAAAAACUUCUAAGGGGAAAAAGGUCAAAUAUGAAGACCUUUUUGAACCUUUGGCCAUAGAGAUACUGCCAAAAUAUCUUAAUAUCGCUGAAUAUUGCAAUACAUGGAAUAAAAUCGUAGCCAAACUUGAAACCACAAUACACAUGUGGAUAACUUUUCCUCUAUCAUUCAGCGGAACAUAUCCCUCUCGUUCGAGAUGAGUCUCAUUGGAACCCCAACAUUUACAUCUAAAUACCUCAGCAUAAUGACCGAAUUACCAGUUAUUCAACUAUUUUUUGUUUCAGGUACACAUACCCUUUCACUCUUGGGUUUUCGGUAAUUGACUCUAUUAUUUUGUAUUUUUGUAAGCACUUCAAAUUUGUUUGACUCAAGUAGGUCCGAGCAUUUUAAGGCUCAUAGCAUGUCUACGGUAUUUGAUAAUUUUGGCUGAGGUUGAUUUUUUGCUUCAAUGUCUUCUCAACCUCUAGUCCAAAAAGCUUUUCUAUUGUGGUAUUUUCACUCUUUGCAACUGUGAAAAGUAUGCUAUCGGAAUGAUCACGACAGAUAAUGGUACUUUAAAUUUCUGAUUGUCCCUUCAUGUGAUCUAGUUCUCGGAGACGAUUUGUUGUUGGAGAGAGAGAACGACAAACCUCCAGGAAUUGUGUGGUGAAAUCUAUGAUCUUAGGGAGUGUAUGGAUAAAAUUUUAGCAUCUUCAAACAAUACUUGAGGACUUGGAAGUACAUUUCUAAAAUAUAUGGAUGGAUGAAAAAGCAUCACGGUCUUUGGCUCAAAGAACAGUUGCCUGAGCUUAAUUGAGAUACCGAAGAAUGAUGAUGGAGCUCAAGAACAAAUCUAGAGGCUUGCUGCUCCAAUGAGUCAAAUGGUAUUUGUAGGAGGUAAUGUUAGUAGUCCUCUAAGGAAGAGAAUGACCGGAUCGAAACAUUUCCUGAGUUGAUUCCCAGGCUAUUCAGUUUCCUUAGGGACGUGUCAAAGGACAAUCCCAUUAUUGUUGAUGAGAGUGAUAAGAGAGAGUCUCCGGCUGGGGUACAUGUAGAUAAAAUAGUUUCGGGGACUGGAACGGAAUUUCUUGUACAAGUCGAUUUUGAUGAUUGGCUCGGUCAAGGCCUUUUUACUAAAAUAGAUGGAGAUAUCAUUCCUGAGCCCUUGUCCUUUCCGGAGCUUCCAGUUUUACAAGGUGCAGAGGCUAGACCAUCAACGACAGAGCCUAUUGUCGCUGUUGGUAAAUAUAACAUUACGAUUGAAACUUCAAAUGAUGUUAAUCUUUUGAAAUGUUCGAAUAAGUAUGUUGUUUGGUUGAAAGGGUUACUUGUUCCUUUGGAGAAGUAAAAAAUUGACUACAAACAGAUCUCCGAUAGUAUGAAGCUCCCACCAGAUUGUGUAUGCACCAGAGGUGCAAGUAUUAUAGUAGAGCUUGAAGGUGUGGAUAUAAAUUCCACCUAUGUGGAAGGGAAGUUAUGAAAGCGACAGAAGAUACGAUUCGAGAUUUGAAAGUAAGUAAGGUAAAAGUAAAGAGGUACGAGAUACUUAAGUAUAAAAGGUUCUGAAUAGUUAAUGUUUCAUAUAGAGGGCUAGAAGAGUCGUGAUUCAGUAUCUAGAAAUGAUAGUGGUGUCGUCAGUAGCACAUCUUCCAACCUAUGAUUUCUAGGUAUCAAGAGCUCUAGUUACGAGAUCAAAGAAGAAUUAGAGGAAACGUGAUGUCUCGUUUGAGGUUCCAGAAUAACAUAAAAAAAUCUAUGGUGCUAGCAUGUUAAAUAAAGGUUGUGAGUAGUACGAAUAGAUACUUGUAGGUCGCAGGCUAAAGUAUGGUAGAAUAAAAAAUUUCUAGGUAGACAGAAGUAAGGAUAAGAAAAGGUGAGUGAGGAGGUGACAUGAAUAGGUAAGGCAUCGGGAUUAAGCCCAUCAAAAUAAGAGAGCUGAUGGUUUUCGUAAGUUAUAGAAAGCUCAGUAUAACCUGAAUGAACUCGAAGGAGUUUAAGACUAGGAGCAUUUAGAAGAGAUGGAAUGUUGCCCUUGUAGUAAAAUAGGAGUGUGAGUGUGAUAAACGAUAAGAUGAUGAUGUUUAGGAAUAUAGCUUUUGAUUGAAGUAAUGAUUCAAUCAUAAGGGAUUUUAUGAAUUGCACGGGAUUAGAAUACCUCCCAUAAGAUGAAUCACAUUGAGAUGCUAUGAAAUACAGUUAUUGAAGUAUAGUUUCAUCCCUAAGGUGGAUCAAGCAAAUAACUUCAGAUGUUAGCCGACGAGACGUGAGCCCUAGUUAAAAUGUAUUACGGAAGAAGAUUCAAGUUAUUACUGGUGGAUAAUAGUCAACAUUAAGAUGAAUCAACAAUAUAUGGAUAAAAGUUCUAAAGUAUGAGAUGAGAUUAUGUUGCCAUUCUUAAGAUGAACUGUAAUGAGAAAGAAUUAAAGGACUUAGAUUUAUACAUAUAGGAUAAGCAUCGAGAGUGUAACCUGGAGUUGGGUAGUAGACCUCACUAAUAAUAAACCGGAGUAAGUGUUAUCGUAUAGUAUGAAUAUCUAGAUACAGUAAAGCCAUAAGGAUAGAUAACCGAGGCCAUGAAAACAAAAUAUAGCAAUAGUCGUAAGUUCGACAAAGUACCAAGCGAAGAACUUCAGUAUACCUAUAGAUGCCCAGAGGAACAACUUGUCAUAGUUCUCUAUAUGUUUUGCAAAGUGAGGCCCAGAGACUGAAGCUGGAGAAAAAAGAAGAGUCGCGUAGGCGUGCAUACAAGGGCAGGGUCGUACAGGCUACAUGACAGAAGGUAGCAACAAUUAUGAGAUUGGAAGAAUUCUGGCCACAGUUCGUGUUUUGAG